rnacentral:misc_RNA from 1 species
AAGUCGUAACAAGGUUUCCGUAGGUGAACCUGCGGAAGGAUCAUUAACACGUGUUCUGACACGUUUUAAACCUUAUCUAUCAAUUACCAAUGAGAACUUGUUUUACUAUUUUUCGAACCAAAACCACUUUCACCCCCCUUUUUGCUAGUUGACUUUAUAUGUGUAUACUGUUUGUUUUCUUUCUCUCCUUGAGAAAGAGGGCGGUGUCACACGUUUGAUUCUAUUUGAACGUUAAAAAAAUACAACUCUUAGCAAUGGAUAUCUUGGUUCUC